rnacentral:rRNA from 1 species
AUGAACGCUGGCGGCGUGCCUAAUCCAUGCACGUCGAGCGAACGGACGAGAAGCUUGCUUCUCUGAUGUUAGCGGCGGACGGGUGAGUAACACGUGGAUAACCUACCUAUAAGACUGGGAUAACUUCGGGAAACCGUAGCUAAUACCGGAUAAUAUUUUGAACCGCAUGGUUCAAAAGUGAAAGACGGUCUUGCUGUCACUUAUAGAUGGAUCCGCGCUGCAUUAGCUAGUUGGUAAGGUAACGGCUUACCAAGGCAACGAUGCAUAGCCGACCUGAGAGGGUGAUCGGCCACACUGGAACUGAGACACGGUCCAGACUCCUACGGGAGGCAGCAGUAGGGAAUCUUCCGCAAUGGGCGAAAGCCUGACGGAGCAACGCCGCGUGAGUGAUGAAGGUCUUCGGAUCGUAAAACUCUGUUAUUAGGGAAGAACAUAUGUGUAAGUAACUGUGCACAUCUUGACGGUACCUAAUCAGAAAGCCACGGCUAACUACGUG